rnacentral:rRNA from 1 species
UACGGAAGGUGCAAGCGUUAUCCGGAUUCACUGGGUUUAAAGGGUGCGUAGGUGGGCAAGUAAGUCAGUGGUGAAAUCUCCGGGCUUAACCCGGAAACUGCCAUUGAUACUAUUUGUCUUGAAUACUGUGGAGGUCAGCGGAAUAUGUCAUGUAGCGGUGAAAUGCUUAGAUAUGACAUAGAACACCAAUUGCGAAGGCAGCUGGCUACACAAAUAUUGACACUGAGGCACGAAAGCGUGGGGAUCAAACAGG